CUAAAAGAUAGUGUAGUGGGUGCACGAGGGGUUUUGAUCCUCUAAGGGCAGGUUCGAGUCCUGGUUUUUUAG
rnacentral:tRNA from 1 species